rnacentral:rRNA from 1 species
AGAGUUUGAUCCUGGCUCAGAUUGAACGCUGGCGGCAUGGCUAAAACAUGCAAGUCGAGCGCGAAAGUCCUUCGGGGCGAGUAGAGCGGCGAAAGGGCGAGGAAUACAUUCCUACGUACCCCAAGGUCGAGGAUAGCCCGGGGAAACCCGGGGUAAUACUCGAUGUGGUGCUUCGGCAUCAAAGGCUUGCUGCCUUGGGAGCGGGGAAUGUCCUAUCAGGUUGUUGGUGAGGUAAUGGCUCACCAAGCCUAAGACGGGUAGCGGGUGUGAGAGCACGACCCGCCGCAUCGGGACUGAGACACUGCCCGGACUCCUACGGGAGGCUGCAGUAACGAAUCUUCCGCAAUGCACGAAAGUGUGACGGGGCAAUGCCGCGUGUGGGAUGAAGCCCUUCGGGGUGUAAACCACUGUCAGGGUUCAGGAAACAAAUGACCAGACCCAAAGGAAGGGCCGGCUAACUCUGUGCCAGCAGCCGCGGUAAUACAGAGGGCCCGAGCGUUAAUCGGAAUCACUGGGCUUAAAGCGUACGUAGGCGGACUUGAAGGCAUCUUGUGAAAUCCCUCGGCUCAACCGGGGAAUUGCAGGGUGAACCACGAGUCUUGAGGCGAGUAGAGGCGGUCGGAACGAUAGGUGGAGCGGUGAAAUGCGUAGAUAUCUAUCGGAACGCCAAAGGUGAAGACAGGCCGCUGGGCUCGUCCUGACGCUGAGGUACGAAAGCGUGGGUAGCGAACGGGAUUAGAUACCCCGGUAGUCCACGCCGUAAACGAUGCGCACUAGGUCGGGGAGGUUGACGCCCUCCCGGCCGAAGCAAAAGUGUUUAGUGCGCCGCCUGGGGAGUACGGUCGCAAGGCUAAAACUCAAAGGAAUUGACGGGGGCUCACACAAGCGGUGGAGCAUGUGGCUUAAUUCGAAGCAACG